rnacentral:rRNA from 1 species
UACAGAGGGGGCAAGCGUUGUUCGGAAUUACUGGGCGUAAAGGGCGCGUAGGCGGCCUUCUAAGUCGAACGUGAAAUCCCCGGGCUCAACCCGGGAACUGCGUCCGAUACUGGAAGGCUUGAAUCCGGGAGAGGGAUGCGGAAUUCCAGGUGUAGCGGUGAAAUGCGUAGAUAUCUGGAGGAACACCUGUGGCGAAAGCGGCUCACUGGGUCUUUUCUGACGCUGAUGCACGAAAGCUAGGGGAGCAAACAGG